AGUAUUGAUAGUUUUACAGCAUACUGUAUGCACACACAGCCUUUUUUUUAAAUAAGAUAACUUAGCUAGAGUUGAACUGCAGUGUAAUAUGAUAACAAGAUGACUUUGACACUUCUGAAAACAGCAUUAUUCUUAUAGUUUUUGCACGCUCGGAAAGAAAAACUGUCGCCUUUGAGUAGGUGACAAUUCACUUUUACCACAUGCCAGUAACACAAAACUUUUACUUAGGUGAGGUGUUCAAUAGAGCCAAGUAUAAAACACAACUGCCUCAUCUGCUCUUAAUGGAGCAUAUUUUGCAAAGGCUCCUGAGGGUGAAUUGUCCACUUGAAGAGCAAAGGAAAGAAGAACAAGUCGGGAGAAAUAAUUACAGUAACCUCUCACUUGUUGCCAAUAUCUCCUGAUGUCCAUCUUAAGCUCCUACACUUUAUCCACCAAGAGCCAUAUCACCUCCAUAUUCUUGUGCGUAUGCAAGAAUAUAACACAGAUCUAUGAAGAAUCCCUCAAGAUACUCCAGAGAAUCUGCAUUGUGAUGUCUGAGAAGAAGCCUUUUCUUUCAACCAUUGCUAUAACUAACAAAAUAUGACAGGGGUGCCUCUAGUCAAAAUUUUGUAAAUUUAAGGCAUGCUCUAUAUGACAUAUUUUUGAUUGAUUUGGAAUUUAAAGUAAAUGAAAUGGGGCUUAAUUGCAACUUUGACCUCAAUUAAAUUCUUUUGGAUUAGCUUUUCAAAUAAUCACAAUCUAUAAGAAAAACCUUUCAGAUGAUUUAUAUACGGAAGUCACUAUUAACCUGUUCAUGCCGCUGGGCGUUCUACAUGUCCUGCAAAAGCUGUGAUUUAAUGCUGUAG